rnacentral:rRNA from 1 species
ACUCCUACGGGAGGCAGCAGUGGGAAUCUUAGACAAUGGGCGCAAGCCUGAUCUAGCCAUGCCGCGUGUGUGACGAAGGCCUUAGGGUCGUAAAGCACUUUCGCCAGGGAUGAUAAUGACAGUACCUGGUAAAGAAACCCCGCCGUACAUCCGUGCCAGCAGCCGCGGUAAUACGGAGGGGGUUAGCGUUGUUCGGAAUUACUGGGCGUAAAGCGCGCGUA